GACGAACGCUGGCGGCGUGCUUAACACAUGCAAGUCGAACGGAAAGGCCCUGCUUUUGUGGGGUGCUCGAGUGGCGAACGGGUGAGUAACACGUGAGUAACCUGCCCUUGACUUUGGGAUAACUUCAGGAAACUGGGGCUAAUACCGGAUAGGAGCUCCUGCUGCAUGGUGGGGGUUGGAAAGUUUCGGUGGUUGGGGAUGGACUCGCGGGUUAUCAGCUUGUUGGUGGGGUGGUGGCUUACCAAGGCUUUGACGGGUAGCCGGCCUGAGAGGGUGACCGGCCACAUUGGUACUGAGGUACGGACCAGACGCGUACGGUGGGCAGCAGUGGGGAAUAUUACACAAUGGGCGCGAGCCUGAUGCAGCAACGCCGCGUUCGGGAUGACGGCCUGCUGGUUGUAAACCGCUUUCGCCUGUGACGAAGCGGGAGUGACGGUAAUGGAUAAAGAAGCACCGGCUAACUACGUG
rnacentral:rRNA from 1 species